rnacentral:rRNA from 1 species
UACGGGGGGGGCAAGCGUUGUUCGGAAUUACUGGGCGUAAAGGGCUCGUAGGCGGCCAACUAAGUCGGACGUGAAAUCCCCAGGCUCAACCUGGGAACUGCGUCCGAUACUGGAUGGCUUGAAUCCGGGAGAGGGAUGCAGAAUUCCAGGUGUAGUGGUGAAAUGCGUAGAGAUCGGGAGGAACACCUGUGGCGAAGGCGGCCAACUGGGCCGACCCUGACGCUGAGGCGCGAAGGCGUGGGGAGCGAACGGG